UGCAGCAAGAAAGGAUGAAACCCGUAGCCCUUCUUCUCCAAUUUUCUCCAAAAUUCAAAUGAUCAUAACUUCUUCGUUUCUCAACGAAAUUGAGCGAUUCUUGCGGCCACGGAACGAGAAAACGAUUAUCUACAGAUAUGUGGCAUUAAUUUGAGUGAGUUUUUAAGCUUGAAUUGGAUGCAAAAUGAUGAUGGAUCUAAGGUUUUUAAGGUGAAAUUGAGCUUGAUUAAAGGGAUUUGAUGGUGAUUGUUCGUACUAGAACCAUUUGACAUAGAGGCAUCGUUCAAGGUGAGCAAGUUUCUAAGUUUGAUGAGUAUUUGAUUGAUAAAUAUUGAUGAAUUUUAUAGCUUAUGGUUCGGCAAUCAUGUGUUGUUUAUAAUGAUUGACGUUUGAUGGUGUUGUGUUAGAAAAUCGUAAGUUUUGGUUGAUUAAAUUUCAGAAUGAAUAGAGCUAAGUAUUUGGCCAUGAUGAAGGUUAAAGGAAUGUAAUUCAAAUGAUGAUAAUUGGCAUUGGAUUAUGUUGUUAUGGCUGAAUAUAAAUUGCAUUUGAGUCAAGAAUGAUUGUUAAAGCUUUGAAAUGAAAAUGGAUGAAUAGGUUUGGCCUAGAUGGGUUUCAUGACUAAGUGGAAUUGAUAUGUUUAAGUGAUGGAUUGUACAUGGCAUUGAUAUUUAAGGUGGCUGGAUUGUGUCGUUGAUAAAGCAUGGUUUUGAUAGAUUAUAGGUAUCGUAGAUUACGAUUAAGAGUUACGUAAACUAGUUGGCGUUUUGUAAAAAUAUUCUUCUGCAAAACAGCAAUAUUGCAGAGGAAAUAUCCCGGGCUGUAUAAAUCCAAAUCAAGUUCCGUUUGUUGGUACGGAAACUUUGAGAUGUUAACUACAAUUGUCUAACUUUAAGUUUUCUCUAAUUAUGCCUCUAAGAUGAUCAAAUUGAACAGAACAUUUUAUUGCUCAGAGCAGGUCUGCAGUUUUAGGACAGCCCUAUGUAAAAACCUUAUGGGCUAGAUUCCGACACCUUCGGGUGCGAAUUUCAUUCCGAGACCUAAACGAAAGUUGUAGGCGAUAUU